rnacentral:rRNA from 1 species
GUAAUAGCUCACUGGUCGAGCGUCUCUGCGCGGAAAAUUUAACGGGGCUAAGAUACAAACCGAAGCUUAGGCUGCACGAAAGUGCGGGGUAGGGGAGCGUUGUGUAAGCGGAGAAACAGUAGCGUAAGCGGCUGUGGAGUUUACAGAAGUGAGAAUGCCGGAAUGAGUAGCGCGAAUGUGGUGAGAAUCCACAUGGCCGGAAACCUCAGGUUUUUGGAGGAAGGUUCGUCCGCUCCAAGUUAGGCGGGAGCUAAGGUCAGGCCGAAAGGCGUAGCCGAUGCACAGACGGUAGAGAUUCCGUCCCCACCGAAAGACUUAAGCACAGGGACACUUUCAGAAGGUCGGAGCCAGGUGUUGGUUCUGGUAGUGAUCGAGGGAAAUAUAGUACCGAAGUCCGGCUGGAAGAGAGGCGAGAAAAGCUGUGUGUAUAUCUAAGGUGCCCGUACCGCAAACCGACACAGGUAGGUAGGAAGAAGAUUCUAAGGCCAACGGGAGAAGGGUUGUUAAGGAACUCGGCAAGUUGACCCCGUAACUUCGGAAUAAGGGGUGCUCACGAGAGUGAGCCGCAGAGAAUAGGCCCAGGCAACUGUUUACCAAAAACACAGGUUUGUGCUAAAUCGAAAGAUGACGUAUACGAGCUGACGCCUGCCCGGUGCUGGAAGGUUAAGAGGAGAUGUGCAAGCAUUGAAUUGAAGCCCCAGUGAACGGCGGCCGUAACUAUAACGGUCCUAAGGUAGCGAAAUUCCUUGUCAGGUAAGUUCUGACCCGCAUGAAAGGCGUAAUGAUUUGGGCACUGUCUCAACAGCCCGCCCGGCGAAAUUGUAGUACCGGUGAAGAUGCCGGUUACCCGCGACAAGACGGAAAGACCCCAUGGAGCUUUACUGUAGCCUGAUAUUGGGUUUCGGUGUUGCAUGCACAGGAUAGAUGGGACGCUGGGAAAGAGUCGCUUUGGCGAUUCUGGAGCGGACGUUGGGAUACCAUCCUUGCGACAUUGGAAUUCUAACCUGCGCCUCUGAAUCGAGGCGGGGGACAUUGUCAGGUGGGCAGUUUGACUGGGGCGGUCGCCUCCUAAAAAGUAGCGGAGGCGUUCAAAGGUUCGUUCGAUCUGGACGGAAACCAGAUGAUUGAGUGCAAACGCAUAAACGAGCCUGACUGCGAGACUGACGGGUCGAGCAGAGACGAAAGUCGGAGUUAGUGAUCCGGUGGUAUGUGAGUGGAAAUGCCAUCGCUCAACGGAUAAAAGUUACCCUGGGGAUAACAGGCUGAUCUCCCCCAAGAGUCCACAUCGACGGGGAGGUUUGGCACCUCGAUGUCGGCUCAUCGCAUCCUGGGGCUGUAUUCGGUCCCAAGGGUUUGGCUGUUCGCCAAUUAAAGCGGUACGCGAGCUGGGUUCAGAACGUCGUGAGACAGUUCGGUCCCUAUCUGUCGUGGGCGCAGGAUAUUUGAAAGGCGCUGUCCCUAGUACGAGAGGACCGGGAUGGACGAACCUCUGGUGCACCAGUUGUCACGCCAGUGGCACAGCUGGGCAGCUAUGUUCGGAUCGGAUAAACGCUGAAAGCAUCUAAGCGUGAAGCCGGCCUUAAGAUAAGAUAUCCCACUGAGUCAAUCAGGUAAGACCCCUUGAAGACUACAAGGUUGAUAGGCACACAGUGUAAGCGGAGUGAUCCGUUCAGCUAGCGUGUACUAAUAGGUCGAGGGCUUGACCC